rnacentral:rRNA from 1 species
GACGAACGCUGGCGGCGUGCUUAACACAUGCAAGUCGAACGGAAAGGCCCUUUUGGGGGUCCUUUACGGGCGGACGGGGGCGGAAGACGGGAGUAACCUGCCCUUUACUUCGUGAUAACGUCAGGAAACUGGGGCUAAUACCGGUAAGGCAUCAUUGCUGCAUGGUGGGGGUUGGAAAGCUUCUGCGGUUUUGGGUGGAUUCGCGGGGUAACGGCUUGUUGGUGGGAUAGUGGGUUACCGAGGCAUUGACGGGUAGCCGGACUGUGAGUGUGAGAGGCCGCAUUGGGACUGAGAGACGGCACAGACUCCUACGGGAGGCAGAAGGGGGGAAUCUUGCACAAUGGGCGGAAGCCGGGUGAAGAAACGCCGCGUGCGGGAAGACGGUCUUGGGGUUGUAAAACGGUUUCAGCAGGAGCGAAGCUUGUGGUGACGGUACCUGAAGAAGAAGCACCGGCUAACUACGUG